AGAAUCAACGCUGGCGGCGUGCCUAACACAUGCAAGUCGAACGAGAAAGGGGAGCAAUCCCUGAGUAAAGUGGCGACCGGGUGAGUAACACGUGACUAACCUACCUUCGAGUGGGGGAUAACCUCGGGAAACCGAGGCUAAUACCGCAUAACAUCGUGAGAUCAAAGCAGUAAUGCGCUGGAAGAGGGGGUCGCGGCUGAUUAGCUAGUUGGCGGGGUAAUGGCCCACCAAGGCGAAGAUCGGUAGCCGGCCUGAGAGGGCGCACGGCCACACUGGAACUGAAACACGGUCCAGACUCCUACGGGAGGCAGCAGUGGGGAAUUUUGCGCAAUGGGGGAAACCCUGACGCAGCAACGCCGCGUGGAGGAUGAAGUCCCUUGGGACGUAAACUCCUUUCGACCAAGACGAUAAUGACGGUACUGGUGGAAGAAGCACCGGCUAACUCUGCGCCAGCCAGCCGC
rnacentral:rRNA from 1 species